rnacentral:rRNA from 1 species
AUUGAACGCUGGCGGCAUGCUUUACACAUGCAAGUCGAACGGUAACAGGCCUUCGGGUGCUGACGAGUGGCGAACGGGUGAGUAAUGCAUCGGAACGUACCCAGAGGUGGGGGAUAACGCAGCGAAAGCUGUGCUAAUACUGCAUGUGAUCUGAGGAUGAAAGCGGGGGACCGAGCAGCAAUGUUUGGCCUCGCGCCUUUGGAGCGGCCGAUGUCGGAUUAGCUAGUUGGUGGGGUAAAGGCCUACCAAGGCGACGAUCCGUAGCUGGUCUGAGAGGACGACCAGCCACACUGGAACUGGGACACGGCCCCGACUCCUGCGGGAGGCACCAGUGGGGAAUUUUGGACAAUGGGCGCAAGCCUGGUCCAGCAAUGCCGCGUGCGGGAAGAAGGCCUUCGGGUUGUAAACCGCUUUUGGCAGGAACGAAACGGUGUCCGCUAAUACCGGGCGCUAAUGACGGUACCUGCAGAAUAAGCACCGGCUAACUACGUG